CCUACGGGAGGCAGCAGUAGGGAAUAUUGCUCAAUGGGCGAAACCCUGAACCAGCAACGUCGCGUGGGGGAUGAAGGUUCUAGGAUUGUAAACCCUCUUUGUUAGAGAAGAAAAUGAUGGUAUUUAUCGAAUAAGAACCGGCCAACUUCGUGAAAGCAGCCGUGGUAAUACGGAGGGUGCCAGCGGUACCCGGAAUCGCUGGGCGUAAAGGGCGCGUAGGGGGGUUAGCAAGUCAGGUGUGAAAGACUAUGGCUUAACCAUAGAAUUGCAUUUGAAACUGGUAUUCUCGAGUAUGGGAGAGGUAGGUGGAAUUCUUGGUGUAGGGGUGAAAUGCGUAGAGAUCAAGAAGAAUACUGAUUGCGAAGGCGGCCUGCUAGAGCAUAACUGACGCUGAUGCACGAAAGCGUGGGGAGCAAACAGGAUUAGAUACCCUAGUAGUC
rnacentral:rRNA from 1 species